rnacentral:rRNA from 1 species
GACGAACGCUGGCGGCGUGCUUAACACAUGCAAGUCGAACGGAAAGGCCUGCUUUCCCUUGUGGAUUGCGGGUACUCGAGUGGCGAACGGGUGAGUAACACGUGAGUGAUCUGCCCCCAACUUGGGUAUAAGCCUGGGAAACUGGGUCUAAUUCCCGAUAGGACUGCAGGGUGGUGCCUGUGGUGGAAAACGAUUUUCUAGUGGUUGGGGAUGAGCUCGCGGCCUAUCAGCUUGUUGGUGGGGUAAUGGCCUACCAAGGCGGCGACGGGUAGCCGGCCUGAGAGGGUGGACGGCCACAUUGGGACUGAGAUAAGGCCCAGACUCCUACGGGAGGCAGGAGUGGGGAAUAUUGCACAAUGGGCGGAAGCCUGAUGCAGCGACGCCGCGUGGGGGAUGACGGCCUUCGGGUUGUAAACUCCUUUCGACCGAGAGGAAGCCACCUGGUUGGAAGGGUGGUGACGGUAGUGGUAGAAGAAGCACCGGCUAACUACGUG